rnacentral:sRNA from 1 species
GUUUGCACUUGUCGGGGAAGGGUGAGAACCUUCGAUUAAGGUUCGACUCGAGCGAAAGCGAGAGAACGUUGCCAACGGCAACGGCCCUUAGGUUGAGGAGCGAAGCGACGAAUAAUCCUUCCCCCACCACCA